AUGCAACUGACGAGUCCCAUAUUGAACGAAACGCACGUUCUGGAU
rfam:Schistosoma haematobium scaffold620_2, whole genome shotgun sequence.